rnacentral:rRNA from 1 species
UACAGAGACUGCAAGCGUUAUUCGGAUUCACUGGGCGUAAAGGGUGCGCAGGCGGCCAAGCGUGUGAGGCGUGAAAGCCUGGGGCUUAACUCCAGAAUUGCACCUCAAACUACAUGGCUAGAGCAUUGGAGAGGGUAGCAGAAUUCACGGUGUAGCAGUGAAAUGCGUAGAUAUCGUGAGGAAUACCAGAGGCGAAGGCGGCUACCUGGACAAUUGCUGACGCUCAGGCACGAAAGCGUGGGGAGCAAAAGGG